rnacentral:rRNA from 1 species
UACGGAGGGUGCAAGCGUUAUCCGGAUUCACUGGGUUUAAAGGGUGCGUAGGCGGGUAAGUAAGUCCGUGGUGAAAUCUCUGAGCUUAACUCAGAAACUGCCGUGGAUACUAUUUGCCUUGAAUAUUGUGGAGGUGAGCGGAAUAUGUCAUGUAGCGGUGAAAUGCUUAGAUAUGACAUAGAACACCAAUUGCGAAGGCAGCUCACUACACAAAUAUUGACGCUGAGGCACGAAAGCGUGGGGAUCAAACAGG